UACGUAGGGUGCGAGCGUUGUCCGGAAUUACUGGGCGUAAAGAGCUCGUAGGUGGUUUGUCGCGUUGUUCGUGAAAACCUGAGGCUUAACCUUGGGCGUGCGGGCGAUACGGGCAGACUGGAGUACUGCAGGGGAGACUGGAAUUCCUGGUGUAGCGGUGGAAUGCGCAGAUAUCAGGAGGAACACCGAUGGCGAAGGCAGCUCUCUGGGACGGUACUGACACUGAGACGCGAAAGCGUGGGGAGCGAACAGG
rnacentral:rRNA from 1 species